rnacentral:rRNA from 1 species
AAUAAGGAUCGGCUAANUACGUGCCAGCAGCCGCGGUAACACGUAGGAUCCGAGCGUUAUCCGAAUUUACUGGGCGUAAAGCGCGUGUAGGCGGUCGGGUAAGUUGGACGUGAAAGCUCCUGGCUCAACUAGGAGAGGUCGUUCAAAACUGCCUGGCUAGAGGGCGACAGAGGGAGGUGGAAUUCCCGGUGUAGUGGUGAAAUGCGUAGAUAUCGGGAGGAACACCAGUGGCGAAGGCGGCCUCCUGGGUCGCACCUGACGCUCAGACGCGAAAGCUAGGGUAGCAAACGGGAUUAGAUACCCCGGUAGUCCUAGCUGUAAACGAUGUGGACUUGGCGUUGGUGGGGUUAAAUCCAUCAGUGCCGUAGCUAACGCGAUAAGUCCACCGCCUGGGGACUACGGUCGCAAGAUUAAAACUCAAAGGAAUUGGCGGGGGCCCGCACAAGCAGCGGAGCGUGUGGUUUAAUUCGAUGCUACACGAAGAACCUUACCCGGGUUUGACAUCCAGGUGGUAGGGAACCGAAAGGCGACCGACCCUUCGGGGAGCCUGGACAGGUGCUGCAUGGCUGUCGUCAGCUCGUGUCGUGAGAUGUCCGGUUAAGUCCGGUAACGAGCGCAACCCUUGCUGUAUGUUAUACGUGUCAUACAGGACUGCCGGUUUAGAACCGGAGGAAGGCGGGGAUGACGUCAAGUCAGCAUGGCCUUUAUAUCCGGGGCUACACACACGCUACAAUGGCCAGCACAACAGGUUGCAAAACCGCGAGGUGGAGCCAAUCCCCAAAGCUGGCCUCAGUUCAGAUUGCAGGCUGCAACUCGCCUGCAUGAAGUCGGAGUUGCUAGUAACCGCGCGUCAGCUAUAGUGCGGUGAAUACGUUCUCGGGCCUUGCACUCACCGCCCGU